UAAAGAAUUUCGGUAUGGGAUGGGGAUGCGUUCCAUUAGUUAGUUGGCGGGGUAACGGCCCACCAAGACGACGAUGGAUAGGGGUUCUGAGAGGAAGGUCCCCCACAUUGGAACUGAGACACGGUCCAAACUCCUACGGGAGGCAGCAGUGAGGAAUAUUGGUCAAUGGACGAGAGUCUGAACCAGCCAAGUAGCGUGAAGGAUGACUGCCCUAUGGGUUGUAAACUUCUUUUAUAUGGGAAUAAAACGUUCCACGUGUGGGAUUUUGUAUGUACCAUAUGAAUAAGGAUCGGCUAACUCCGUGCCAGCAGCCGCGGUAAUACGGAGGAUCCGAGCGUUAUCCGGAUUUAUUGGGUUUAAAGGGAGCGUAGGUGGAUUGUUAAGUCAGUUGUGAAAGUUUGCGGCUCAACCGUAAAAUUGCAGUUGAAACUGGCAGUCUUGAGUACAGUAGAGGUGGGCGGAAUUCGUGGUGUAGCGGUGAAAUGCUUAGAUAUCACGAAGAACUCCGAUUGCGAAGGCAGCUCACUGGACUGCAACUGACACUGAGGCUCGAAAGUGUGGGUAUCAAACAGGAUUAGAUACCCUGGUAGUCCACACAGUAAACGAUGAAUACUCGCUGUUUGCGAUA
rnacentral:rRNA from 1 species